GGGCGUCUGCAGUGCCGCCGGGCUUUAUAUUUCCUUGAACCAAUGCUCACUGAGCAAGGGCUUGGUACAUCGUCCGGUGAGCGUGAUCAUCUCGCGUCAGAUGAACCCAACGCCUGGCUGCCCUCGCCCCCCUGAACCCCCGGUUCAGGAUGACGGUUCGGUGGUUACUGCGGACACCCC
rnacentral:sRNA from 1 species